CUCGUAGGCGGUUUGUCGCGUCUGCCGUGAAAGUCCGGGGCUCAACUCCGGAUCUGCGGUGGGUACGGGCAGACUAGAGUGAUGUAGGGGAGACUGGAAUUCCUGGUGUAGCGGUGAAAUGCGCAGAUAUCAGGAGGAACACCGAUGGCGAAGGCAGGUCUCUGGGCAUUAACUGACGCUGAGUAGCGAAAGCAUGGGGAGCGAACA
rnacentral:rRNA from 1 species